rnacentral:rRNA from 1 species
UACGAAGGGGGCUAGCGUUGCUCGGAAUCACUGGGCGUAAAGGGUGCGUAGGCGGGUCUUUUAAGUCAGGGGUGAAAUCCUGGAGCUCAACUCCAGAACUGCCUUUGAUACUGAGGAUCUUGAGUUCGGGAGAGGUGAGUGGAACUGCGAGUGUAGAGGUGAAAUUCGUAGAUAUUCGCAAGAACACCAGUGGCGAAGGCGGCUCACUGGCCCGAUACUGACGCUGAGGCACGAAAGCUAGGGUAGCGAACGGG